UACGGAGGAGGCUAGCGUUGUUCGAAUUACUGGGCGUAAAGCGCACGUAGGCGGCUUUGUAAGUUAGAGGUGAAAGCCCGGGGCUCAACUCCGGAAUUGCCUUUAAGACUGCAUCGCUAGAAUUGUGGAGAGGUAAGUGGAAUUCCGAGUGUAGAGGUGAAAUUCGUAGAUAUUCGGAAGAACACCAGUGGCGAAGGCGACUUACUGGACCGGUAUUGACGCUGAGGCGCGAAAGCCAGGGGAGCAAACGGG
rnacentral:rRNA from 1 species